AAACCUCUUUUAGUAGGGAAGAAGCGUAAGUGACGGUACCUGCAGAAAAAGCACCGGCUAACUACGUGCCAGCAGCCGCGGUAAUACGUAGGGUGCAAGCGUUGUCCGGAAUUAUUGGGCGUAAAGAGCUCGUAGGCGGUUUGUCGCGUCUGCUGUGAAAACCGGAGGCUCAACCUCCGGCCUGCAGUGGGUACGGGCAGACUAGAGUGCGGUAGGGGAGAUUGGAAUUCCUGGUGUAGCGAUGGAAUGCGCAGAUAUCAGGAGGAACACCGAUGGCGAAGGCAGAUCUCUGGGCCGUAACUGACGCUGAGGAGCGAAAGCAUGGGGAGCGAACAGGAUUAGAUACCCUGGUAGUCCAUGCCGUAAACGUUGGGCGCUAGAUGUAGGGGCCAUUCCACGGUCUCUGUGUCGCAGCUAACGCAUUAAGCGCCCCGCCUGGGGAGUACGGCCGCAAGGCUAAAACUCAAAGGAAUUGACGGGGGCCCGCACAAGCGGCGGAGCAUGCGGAUUAAUUCGAUGCAACGCGAAGAACCUUACCAAGGCUUGACAUAUACCGGUAACGGCCAGAAAUGGUCGCCCCGCAAGGUCGGUAUACAGGUGGUGCAUGGUUGUCGUCAGCU
rnacentral:rRNA from 1 species